GAUGAACGCUAGCUACAGGCUUAACACAUGCAAGUCGAGGGGAAACGACAGAGGAAGCUUGCUUCCUUUGGGCGUCGACCGGCGCACGGGUGAGUAACGCGCAUCCCCAUCCUUCUCCUUCACAUUUCGUUCACAGCAGGCAUCUAACGAGAACGAAAUGUGAAGGAGAAGGAUGGGGAUGCGUCUGAUUAGCUUGUUGGCGGGGUAACGGCCCACCAAGGCGACGAUCAGUAGGGGUUCUGAGAGGAAGGUCCCCCACAUUGGAACUGAGACACGGUCCAAACUCCUACGGGAGGCAGCAGUGAGGAAUAUUGGUCAAUGGACGGGAGUCUGAACCAGCCAAGUAGCGUGCAGGAUGACGGCCCUAUGGGUUGUAAACUGCUUUUAUAGGGGGAUAAAGUGUGUCACGUGUGGCAUAUUGCAGGUACCCUAUGAAUAAGGACCGGCUAAUUCCGUG
rnacentral:rRNA from 1 species